AGAGGAGGCUGGAGAGGAGGCUGGAGAGGAGGCGAAUAGAAGAGGCACAUAGAGGAGGCUGGAGAGGAGGCUGGAGAGGAGGCACAUAGAGGAGGCUGGAGAGGAAGCUGGAGAGGAGGCUGGAGAGGAGGCACAUAGAGGAGGCUGGAGAGGAGGUACAUAGAGGAGGCACAUAGAGGAGGCUGGAGAGGAGGCACAUAGAGGAGGCUGGAGAGGAGGUACAUAGAGGAGGCACAUAGAGGAGGCUGGAGAGGAGGCACAUAGAGGAGGCUGGAGAGGAGGCUGGAGAGGAGGCACAUAGAGGAGGCUGGAGAGGAAGCUGGAGAGGAGGCUGGAGAGGAGGCGAAUAGAAGAGGCACAUAGAGGAGGCUGGAGAGGAGGCACAUAGAGGAGGCUGGAGAGGAAGCUGGAGAGGAGGCUGG
ensembl:lncRNA